rnacentral:tRNA from 1 species
GCCGACAUAAUUCAAUGGCAGAAACCCUGUCUUGUAAGCAGGUGGUGGCGGUUCGAGUCCGCCUGUCGGCUCCA